UAUAAUUAUAAUUAUUUUAUUAUUUAUUUUUUUCUUUAUUUUUACACUCCAGAUUAGAUUCUCCUUGUGCUCAACCCUGCGAUUGUUCCACAUCCUAUACAUCCUCAUGCCAGUCUCCACAAGGAUGUCCCUACUACCCCAACACGCCACCAGACCUCUAAACUCUGGGGCCUCCAGACUCUUGAAGGGAAAGGAAACUAACAAUAGGCAAAGUGGUUUUCUGAGUUUCUUCUGACUGAAAAUGCUGCAGAUCCUAAAACUUCGCAUCCUGCUAUAUCCGAAGAUCUUCCUUUUCAAUUUGGAGCUCAAAGAAUCCCAGUAAAGAGGAGACCAAAAGAUGUUUCAGAACAGAUGGAAAACACCAGGAAAACAAGGC